CCUACGGGAGGCAGCAGUGAGGAAUAUUGGUCAAUGGCCGAGAGGCUGAACCAGCCAAGUCGCGUGAGGGAAGACGGCCCUACGGGUUGUAAACCUCUUUUGUCGGGGAGCAAAGAGAGUCACGUGUGACUCAUUGAGAGUACCCGAAGAAAAAGCAUCGGCUAACUCCGUGCCAGCAGCCGCGGUAAUACGUAGGUGGCAAGCGUUAUCCGGAUUUACUGGGUGGAAAGGGCGUGUAGGCGGGAGUGCAAGUCAGAUGUGAAAACUAUGGGCUCAACCCAUAGCCUGCAUUUGAAACUGUACGUCUUGAGUGCUGGAGAGGCAAUCGGAAUUCCGUGUGUAGCGGGGAAAUGCGUAGAUAUACGGAGGAACACCAGUGGCGAAGGCGGAUUGCUGGACAGUAACUGACGCUGAGGCGCGAAAGCGUGGGGAGCAAACAGGAUUAGAUACCCUUGUAGUC
rnacentral:rRNA from 1 species